GGCCGAGCUGCGCCACGGGGACGGGAUCCCGGCUGCGGGGGGGGGAGCGGGGCCACCCCAUGCGCCUGAAGGUACCGGAACCCGGCGGCGUCCCCAGCGCUGUCCCCAGUGUCCCCAGCACUGUCCCCAGCAUCCCCAGCGGCAUCCCCUGCGUCCCCAGUGUCCCCAGUGUCCCCAGCGGUGUCCCCAGCAGUGUCCCCAGUGUCCCCAGUGGCGUCCCCAGCGGCGUCCCCAGCGGUGUCCCUGGCGUCCCCAGUGCUGUCCCCAGUGGCAUCCCCAGUGGAGUCCCCAGCGGUGUCCCCAGUGGUGUCCCUAGUGGAGUCCCAAGCAGCAUCCCCAGUGUCCCCAGCUGUGUUCCCAGCGGUGUCCCCAGCGUCCCCAGUGUCCCCAGCAUCCUUAGUGUCCCCAGCAGUGUCCCCAGUGGUGUUCCCAGUGUCCCCAGCACUGUCCCCAGCAUCCCCAGUGUCCCCGGUGUCCCCGGCAGAGUCCCCAGUGCCCCCAGUGUCCCCAGCAGCGUCCCCAGUGGUGUCCCCAGUGUCCCCUGCAUCCCCAGCGGCGUCCCCAGUGUCCCCAGUGGUGUCCCCAGUGUCCCCAGCGGUGUCCCCAGCAGUCUCCCCAGUGACGUCCCCAGCGGCGUCCCCAGUGUCCCCAGCAGUGUCCCCAGUGGCCUCCCCAGCGGUGUCCCCAGCAGU
ensembl:lncRNA